rfam:Sarcoptes scabiei Contig10903, whole genome shotgun sequence.
CAAACGGUCCUUUUAAGGACCAUAAUUUUUUCUCGAGAAAACAUUU